rnacentral:rRNA from 1 species
AGAGUUUGAUCCUGGCUCAGGACGAACGCUGGCGGCGUGCUUAACACAUGCAAGUCGAACGGAAAGGCCCCUUCGGGGGUACUCGAGUGGCGAACGGGUGAGUAACACGUGGGUGAUCUGCCCUGCACUUUGGGAUAAGCCUGGGAAACUGGGUCUAAUACCGAAUAGGACCGCAUGCUUCAUGGCGUGUGGUGGAAAGCUUUUGCGGUGUGGGAUGGGCCCGCGGCCUAUCAGCUUGUUGGUGGGGUAAUGGCCUACCAAGGCGACGACGGGUAGCCGGCCUGAGAGGGUGUCCGGCCACACUGGGACUGAGAUACGGCCCAGACUCCUACGGGAGGCAGCAGUGGGGAAUAUUGCACAAUGGGCGCAAGCCUGAUGCAGCGACGCCGCGUGGGGGAUGACGGCCUUCGGGUUGUAAACCUCUUUCAGUAUCGGCGAAGCUCCAGGGUUUUUCUUGGGGUGACGGUAGGUACAGAAGAAGCACCGGCCAACUACGUGCCAGCAGCCGCGGUAAUACGUAGGGUGCGAGCGUUGUCCGGAAUUACUGGGCGUAAAGAGCUCGUAGGUGGUUUGUCACGUUGUCCGUGAAAACUCACAGCUUAACUGUGGGCGUGCGGGCGAUACGGGCAGACUGGAGUACUGUAGGGGAGACUGGAAUUCCUGGUGUAGCGGUGGAAUGCGCAGAUAUCAGGAGGAACACCGGUGGCGAAGGCGGGUCUCUGGGCAGUAACUGACGCUGAGGAGCGAAAGCGUGGGGAGCGAACAGGAUUAGAUACCCUGGUAGUC